CAAUAGCGUAUAUUAAAGUUGUUGCUGUUAAAAAGCUCGUAGUUGGAUUUCUGGCAGGAGCGACCGGUCACACACUCUGUGUGUGAACUUGUGUUGUCUCUGGCCAUCCUUGGGGAGAUCCUGUUUGGCAUUAAGUUGUCGGGCAGGGGACAUCCAUCGUUUACUGUGAAAAAAUUAGAGUGUUUAAAGCAGGCUUAUGCCGUUGAAUAUAUUAACAUGGAAUAAUAAGAUAGGACUUCGGAACUAUUUUGUUGGUUUGCGUUACGAAGUAAUGAUUAAUAGGGACAGUUGGGGGUAUUCGUAUUUCGUUGUCAGAGGUGAAAUUCUUGGAUUUCCGAAAGACGAACUACUGCGAAAGCAUUUACCAAGGAUGUUUNCAUUAA
rnacentral:rRNA from 1 species